rnacentral:misc_RNA from 1 species
UCCGGCUUAUCACCGGCAGUCGCCUUAGAGUGCCCAACUAAAUGAUGGCAACUAAGGGCAAGGGUUGCGCUCGUUGCGGGACUUAACCCAACAUCUCACGACACGAGCUGACGACAGCCGUGCAGCACCUGUCUCCAGGUUCCCGAAGGCACUCCCGCAUCUCUGCAGGAUUCCAGACAUGUCAAGGCCAGGUAAGGUUCUUCGCGUUGCAUCGAAUUAAACCACAUACUCCACCGCUUGUGCGGGCCCCCGUCAAUUCCUUUGAGUUUCAGUCUUGCGACCGUACUCCCCAGGCGGCGAACUUGACGCGUUAGCUUCGACACUGAUCUCCGAGUUGAGACCAGCAUCCAGUUCGCAUCGUUUAGGGCGUGGACUAC